rnacentral:rRNA from 1 species
AAGAAGCGAAGCGGUGACGUGGAGCAAACCUCAGAAAGCCAAUCUCAGUUCGGAUUNUAGGCUGCAACUCGCCUACAUGAAGUUGGAAUCGCUAGUAAUCGCGAAUCAGAAUGUCGCGGUGAAUACGUUCCCGGGUCUUGUACACACCGCCCGUCACACCACGAGAGUUUACAACACCCGAAGUCAGUGGCCUAACCGCAAGGAGGGAGCUGCCUAAGGUGGGGUAGAUGAUUGGGGUGAAGUCGUAACAAGGUAGC